CACAUGCAAGUCGAGCGGAAACGAUGAUAGCUUGCUAUCAGGCGUCGAGCGGCGGACGGGUGAGUAAUACUUAGGAAUCUACCUAGUAGUGGGGGAUAGCUCGGGGAAACUCGAAUUAAUACCGCAUACGACCUACGGGAGAAAGGGGGCAACUUGUUGCUCUCGCUAUUAGAUGAGCCUAAGUCGGAUUAGCUAGAUGGUGGGGUAAAGGCCUACCAUGGCGACGAUCUGUAGCUGGUCUGAGAGGAUGAUCAGCCACACCGGGACUGAGACACGGCCCGGACUCCUACGGGAGGCAGCAGUGGGGAAUAUUGGACAAUGGGGGCAACCCUGAUCCAGCCAUGCCGCGUGUGUGAAGAAGGCCUUUUGGUUGUAAAGCACUUUAAGCAGUGAAGAAGGCUCCGUGGUUAAUACCCACGGACGAUGACAUUAGCUGCAGAAUAAGCACCGGCUAACUCUGUGCCAGCAGCCGCGGUAAUACAGAGGGUGCAAGCGUUAAUCGGAAUUACUGGGCGUAAAGCGAGCGUAGGUGGCUUGAUAAGUCAGAUGUGAAAUCCCCGGGCUUAACCUGGGAACUGCAUCUGAUACUGUUAGGCUAGAAUAGGUGAGAGGAAGGUAGAAUUCCAGGUGUAGCGGUGAAAUGCGUAGAGAUCUGGAGGAAUACCGAUGGCGAAGGCAGCCUUCUGGCAUCAUAUUGACACUGAGGUUCGAAAGCGUGGGUAGCAAACAGGAUUAGAUACCCUGGUAGUCCACGCCGUAAACGAUGUCUACUAGUCGUUGGGUCCCUUGAGGACUUAGUGACGCAGCCUAACGCAAUAAGUAGACCGCCUGGGGGAGUACGGCCGCAAGGUUAAAACCUCAA
rnacentral:rRNA from 1 species